rnacentral:rRNA from 1 species
AUUGAACGCUGGCGGUAUGCUUAACACAUGCAAGUCGAACGGCAGCAUGGUCUAGCUUGCUAGACUGAUGGCGAGUGGCGGACGGGUGAGUAACGCGUAGGAAUAUGCCUUGAAGAGUGGGACAACUUGGGGAAACUCAAGCUAAUACCGCAUGUACUCGAGGGAGUAAAGCUGGGGACCUUUAGGCCUGGCGCUUUAAGAUUAGCCUGCGUCCGAUUAGCUAGUUGGUAGGGUAAAGGCCUACCAAGGCGACGAUCGGUAGCUGCUCUGAGAGGAUUAUUAGCCACACUGGACAUGCGAGGCGCGCCAGACUCCUACGGGGGGCAGCAGUGGGGAAUAUUGGAAAAUGGGGGGAACCCUGAUCCAGCAAUAGCUCGUGUCUGAAGAAGGCCUGAGGGGUGUAAAGCACUUUCAGUAGGGAGGAGGUUUGGAAGGGUAAGAGCUAGUCAAAUGGACGUUACCCACAGAAGAAGCACCGGCUAACUCCGUGCCAGCCGCCGCCGUAA